rnacentral:sRNA from 1 species
CUACAUUAACUCUUUGUAUUCCAGCCAGGCUGCUCCUCUUAGAUGCAGAGGACUUAGACAUCAGGAAGACUUAGGCACUGGAGGCAGUACUUCAGAGGGCGAUGAGACAGGUGUGAUGGACAGUCUUCUAGAAGCCCUGCAGUCAGGGGCAGCAUUCCGACGGAAGAGAGGGCCCCGUCAAGCCAACAGGAAGGCCGGGUGUGCAGUCACAUCUCUGCUGGCUUCGGAGCUGACCAAGGAUGAUGCCAUGGCCGCUGUUCCUGCCAAGGUGUCCAAGAACAGUGAGACAUUCCCCACAAUCCUUGAGGAAGCCAAGGAGUUGGUUGGCCGUGCAAGCUAAUGUGGGUCCUGUGACCGCGGCAGCUCCUCAGCAGAGCUGCAGACUGUCUUGCCCUGCAGCAUGUGCCUAAAGGCUUCCUCUGGGGUGGCCGCUCCCACCACCCUGACCCUGUCCUCCUCUCUGGCCUGCUGCUCUCUCAACGUCACAUACAGCUUCAGUUGCCUGGAGGCCAGAAGGAAAGGGCAGUGUGGGGGAGGCCUGAGCCCAAGCUAGCCAGCCCUGGCUGUUGUAUUACCAAAGCAGGGUCCAUGUUUGCUGCCUUAACCCU